UGGGGAAUAUUGGACAAUGGGCGAAAGCCUGAUCCAGCAAUGCCGCGUGAGUGAUGAAGGCCUUAGGGUUGUAAAGCUCUUUUACCCGGGAUGAUAAUGACAGUACCGGGAGAAUAGGCCCCGGCUAACUCCGUG
rnacentral:rRNA from 1 species